UGAAGCUGGUGCCACCUCGCCGUAAAACAAAACAACGAAGAAAAUGACCUUCAUGAACGAGUCGUGAAUUGCAUUUCCUGUUCACCAACGGAACGAAACUGUGAGUGACCGAAUCAAUGAGUGAGUGAUUUGCAUUUCCAGUUCUUUUAUCCUCGUUUUCUCCAAGCUAACGGCUAACUUUAUUUGCAUGAAGGGAUGCGCCGUUAUUAGGCGGCGGGCCGAAGCUCGCUAGAGGCUUUCGUUAGUGAAAUGAUUGAUCUGGUUGUAGGGAGGAUGUGAUAUUUUAAUAUGACCUACAUGGACUUUAUAUUAACACAUUUCUGAUUGUUGGGAGCUGUUGUUUGGUCAUCGUUUUAUGAAAAUCAACGUUUGAUUGCGAAACGCAACAGGCACUGCUGCAAAGGGGUCCUUGCUGCAGAACCAAUCAAAACUCGUAACAACGUCACGUGACUUGAUGUCUCCCAACGGCAUUCCUCCAGCUCAGGAACUAGGAAGUAAAUAUUGCCUCCGCUCUAUGGACUUUGUUCGCACUUGGCACUGAUGCAAAGGGGUCCUUGCUGCAGAACAAAUCAAAACUCGUAACGACGUCACGUGACCUGAUGUCUCCCAAUGGCAUUCCUCCAACUGAGGAACUAGGAAGUCAAUAUUGCCUCCGCACUAUUGACAACAAUAGACUUUGUUCGCACUUGAUGCUCAACCAUGGACGACACUACAGGUAUCUUCUAGGCCUAAUCUAACCUAGCCUAGCCUGAGGGGUCUAUCGUAAUCUUGCAAGAUCAAAGAUUGACCUGGACACCCCUGUAAAGAGAUUUGUGGCUGAUUCAGAGCACACACGGGUUCGUGCAGAUAAAGGCACGAGGAAGGUUUCUGCCAGACAAAAACAUCGGAUUAAGAGAGCAGCUGCUAAAAUGCCAUUACAGAGUAGCAAACAGAUAUUUGAAGCUGCUGGUGCCUCUGGAGUCCCACGAACAUCAAGGUGUAGGAUCCUCCAGAGUCUUGCAGUUAUGCGUAAACCCUCUACAUAUUCGGCCACCCCUAAACAACGCUCACAAGCAGAAACGGCUGCAGUGGGCCCAGGAAUACAUGAAGACUAAUUUCCAAACAGUCUUGUUCACUGAUGAGUGCCGUGCAACCUUGGAUGGUCCAGAUGGAUGGAGUCAUGGAUGGUUGGUGGACGGCCACCAUGUCCCAACAAGGCUGCGACGUCAGCAAGGAGGUGGCGGAGUCAUGUUUUGGGCCGGAAUCAUGGGGAGAGAGCUGGUUGGCCCCUUUAGGGUCCCUGAAGGUGUGAAAAUGACAUCUGUAAAGUAUGUGGAGUUUCUGACUGACCACUUUCUUCCAUGGUACAAAAAGAAGAACCGUGCUUUCCGUAGCAAAAUCAUCUUCAUGCAUGACAAUGCACCAUCUCAUGCUGCAAGGAAUACCUCUGCAUCAUUGGCUGCUAUGGGCAUAAAAGGAGAGAAACUCAUGGUGUGGCUCCCAUCCUCCCCUGACCUCAACCCUAUUGAGAACCUUUGGAGCAUCCUCAAGCAAAAGAUCUAUGAGGGUGGGAGGCAGUUCACAUCCAAACAGCAGCUCUGGGAGGCUAUUCUGACAUCCUGCAAAGAAAUUCAAGCAGAAACUCUCCAAAAACUCACAAGGUCAAUGGAUGCAAGAAUUGUGAAGCUGCUAUCAAAUAAAGGGUCCUAUGUUAAAAUGUAACUUGACCUGUUAAGAUGUUUUUGAUUGAAAUAGCUUUUGAUUUCAGUAAAUAUGACCUCCUAAUGCUGUAAAUUCUAAAGAUGAGCAUUUCAGUUCAUAACCUAUAAAAUGUUAUAAAACUCUGUUGUGCGUAAUAAUUUGGAACAGUGCAUUUUAAGUUUUUUAUUUUUGAAAAAUUCUGUUAUCAUUGGGAGGUUUGUUCAAUAACAUUCGAAUUCAUUAAACUAAUGGUUGAUGACUUGAAAA